ACGGGGCGCAGCAGGCGCGAAAACUGUGCAAUGCGCGAAAGCGCGACACGGGGAGCUUGAGUGUCUUGGCAUAGCCAAGACUUUUCUUAUUCCUAAAAAGUAUGAGGAAUAAGUGCUGGGUAAGACGGGUGCCAGCCGCCGCGGUAACACCCGCAGCACGAGUAGUGGUCACUUUUAUUGAGCCUAAAGCGUUCGUAGCCGGUUUUGUAAAUCUUCAGAUAAAUCCUGAAGCUUAACUCCAGAAAGUCUGAAGAGACUGCAAGACUUGAGAUCGGGUGAGGUUAAAGGUACUUCCGGGGUAGGGGUAAAAUCCUGUAAUCCUGGAAGGACGACCGGUGGCGAAGGCGUUCAACUAGAACGGAUCCGACGGUGAGGAACGAGGGCUAGGGUAGCAAACCGGAUUAGAUACCCGGGUAGUCCUAGCUGUAAACACUGCCCACUUGGUGUUGCCCCUCCGAUGAGGGGAGGCAGUGCCGGAGCGAAGGUGUUAAGUGGGCCGCUUGGGGAGUAUGGUCGCAAGGCUGAAACUUAAAGGAAUUGGCGGGGGAGCACCGCAACGGGAGGAGUGUGCGGUUUAAUUGAAUUCAACGCCGGAAAACUCACCGGGAGCGACCUUUGGAUGAGAGUCAACCUGAUGAGCUUACUCGAUAGAAGGAGAGGUGGUGCAUGGCCGUCGUCAGCUCGUACCGUAGGGCGUUCACUUAAGUGUGAUAACGAGCGAGACCCCCAUCUCUAAUUGCUAACGUGCAUUCGAAUGCACGCGCACUUUAGAGGGACGGCCAGUGCUAAACUGGAGGAAGGAGGGGUCGACGGCAGGUCAGUACGCCCCGAAUUUCCCGGGCAACACGCGCGCUACAAAGAACAGGACAAUGAGUUGCAACCUCGAAAGGGGGAGCUAACCUCGAAACCUGUUCGUAGUUAGGAUUGAGGGCUGUAACUCGCCCUCAUGAAUGUGGAUUCCGUAGUAAUCGCGGGUCAACAGCCCGCGGUGAAUAUGCCCCUGCUCCUUGCACACACCGCCCGUCAAACCAUCCGAGCUGGUGCUGGAUGAGGGUAUGCUCUUAUGGGUUAACUCAAAUCUGAUGUUGGUGAGGAGGGUUAAGUCGUAACAAGGUAGCCGU
rnacentral:rRNA from 1 species